rnacentral:lncRNA from 1 species
UUACCGAAGUAAGCUAUCAGCAAUUCAUCUUUUCCCCAGCACCUCUCAUUUUAGUGCAAAACCCUCGGAGGUGGGCCACCGGGUCGCCAUGUCCCUCGUACAGGUCAAACUUGGGCAUAUUAAACCCUACGGGCAACUAGACAUCAGGGAAAGGGCACAAAUAUUUAUAGGUGACACUGACUUGGCUGCCCAAACCGUGCAUGUUCCUGAAGGAUAGCUCCAUGCUUUUGAACUUUCUAAGCACUUCCUCAUGCUCCGCAUUCUUAACUGGUUUAUCCACUGCCUCUGGGAUCUCAAAGUGAGGGGUAUAUGAGUAUGGCUCAAGAGCCUCAAGAGUAGGUUCAUGAUGGUAGUAUUGGGUGUCAUGGGCUUGGAAUAGUGGUUCACUAGAGGACCUUUGUAACGGAGCUGGAGGAGGUGCCAAAAAAAUCGGAGCUACGGGUGGAUGAG